AGUCGCGACGUGGCCCUGUAGUUCCAGUUUCGCUGAUGUCUGUCACACAUACCGAUGGUGGCAAAGGAGCUAAUGGCGCCGCCGUGUAGUAAGGUGGAUUGGUAGGUAGAUAAGGAAUGGCUUCGUCAACCCCACCACCUUGGCGUUGCAGCUCUUCACACACUAUUGCCCGAAUAGUAGCGGCAAGGUCGAUGGGCGGGCUCAUGUCGACCCUGGCAACCGUUGUCACACUUGCCAGCCUACCAAAUUUUGGGGCAAUGCGAUGAGUCUUGAUUUUUUCAAAUGUGCGGCAGUGAUGAUGGACGUCGGAGAUAGAGCAUAGUAGUACGAACGAAGGCAUGAGCCCGGCGGAGGCGAGGGCUCACAAAGCGGCAGCCGCACCAGUAAGACCCGGAUUCGAGAGGUCGCGAAGCUGAAGCGAGACACGGAUUUCUGAAGCGGAUCUCUGAAGACACGGAUCUCUGAAGCGAGACCCAGGGGCGGUGAGGGCUAGCUUGCGCAGCCGCGGCAUGGCAGCGUCGGCAAGCAAACCCGGAAGCGACAAGGAGUCUUGUUCAGGGCGAAGAAUAAAGAGUACCUCUUUACAGAA